AUUGAACGCUGGCGGCAUGCUUUACACAUGCAAGUCGAACGGCAGCACAGCAGAGGUAACUCUGUGGGUGGCGAGUGGCGAACGGGUGAGUAAUACAUCGGAACGUACCCUGUUGUGGGGGGAUAACUACGCGAAAGCGUAGCUAAUACCGCAUACGCCCUGAGGGGGAAAGCGGGGGGACCCUAAGUAGAGCGCACUGGGGAGUGCGUUGUAUUUAGGGCCUCGCGCAAUAGGAGCGGCCGAUGUCGGAUUAGCUAGUUGGUGAGGUAAAGGCUUACCAAGGCGACGAUCCGUAGCUGGUCUGAGAGGAUGAUCAGCCACACUGGGACUGAGACACGGCCCAGACUCCUACGGGAGGCAGCAGUGGGGAAUUUUGGACAAUGGGCGCAAGCCUGAUCCAGCAAUGCCGCGUGAGUGAAGAAGG
rnacentral:rRNA from 1 species